AGAGACAGCGACAGCAACGGCAGCAGCGGAGGCGGCGGUGAUGGCCGAGUCCUAGGCGCCCGCCCACGGAUCAUAGCCCCAGGAAAACUUAUGGAUUCCAUCCAAACUGAUAAAAAUCAGAUUUGAUAGAGGAAGACCCUCUGAAGAUCUUGACUGCAGAAAGGAAGAAAGAAAUCUAGAAGACCAAAUAGGAUAGUUUGUAUAUUGCAGAAUGGAAGGCCAGAAGAGCAGCCCUGACCGGAUUCACUUUCGAGGAUGCUGGGAUGCUGAAACCUGCUUUUCCAGCUCCCUGAUCAAUAUUGCCUCAAACUGAUGCUGUUCCAGAGACUUGCUUCCAGAACAGCUUCAAAAAGGGCUGCUAAUCCCAGAUGACCUUGUUUCAUCCAGUCUUUCAGAUUGUUCUAAUCAGGACUUCAGUUAAGCCCUAAACUUUCUCCAUUCAAGACUUCAGUUAAUCAACCUAUAGAGACUGGACAACAAUAAUGCCAGCUAGCUUUCUUUUGACUUAACCAUUUUUCCAGUUUUCUCUUGGGCCCCCAAACUGGAACUCUUUUCCCCAAUUCAGCAAGAAGAAACUAUAAGAAGACUGUCAUCCCAAUCACUUAAGUUGGGGUGGAUAGUUUUGAUCAUUUUAUGAAUUAUAGAUAUAUUGUCAUUUUAAGGGAUGAUUACAAAUAAUUAUGGUCUUAGACAGGGAGGAAAUUAUAUAGGGAGCUGAGACUCAGAGAUUGCUAUAUCUCUUUUCCUUUUCUCUAUCCUUCUUUCUUUCUUAAAUAAAGAUAAAGAGGUUGAGAAGAAAAAGGGGGCAUAUAGAAAUAUUGUAAGAAAUUAGACAAAUAGGGGUAGAUUAUUAAAUCUAUUCUUAAAUAAAAACAUUUUACAGUGAUAAUCUUA
rnacentral:lncRNA from 1 species